GACGGAGGAGGCUAGCGUUGUUCGGAAUUACUGGGCGUAAAGCGCGCGCGGGCGGUUAUGCAAGUCAGGGGUGAAAGCCCGAGGCUCAACCUCGGAACGGCCUUUGCGACUGCAUGACUAGAGACCGGGAGAGGAGAGUGGAAUUCCCAGUGUAGAGGUGAAAUUCGUAGAUAUUGGGAAGAACACCAGUGGCGAAGGCGGGUCUCUGGACAGUUCCUGACACUGAGGCACGAAGGCCAGGGGAGCAAACGGG
rnacentral:rRNA from 1 species